CCUACGGGGGGCAGCAGUGGGGAAUAUUGCGCAAUGGGCGAAAGCCUGACGCAGCGACGCCGCGUGAGGGAUGAAGGUCUUCGGAUCGUAAACCUCUGUCAGCAGGGAAGAACGGUCACUGUGCUAAUCAGCAGUGAAUUGACGGUACCCGCAAAGGAAGCACCGGCUAACUCCGUGCCAGCAGCCGCGGUAAUACGGAGGGUGCGAGCGUUAAUCGGAAUUACUGGGCGUAAAGCGCUCGUAGGCGGUCUGUCAAGUCAAGGGUGAAAUCCCCGCGCUCAACGUGGGAACUGCCUUUGAAACUGGCAAACUGGAGUGUGUGAGAGGAUAGUGGAAUUCCAGGUGUAGGGGUGAAAGCCGUAGAGAUCUGGAGGAACAUCAGUGGCGAAGGCGACUAUCUGGCACAUAACUGACGCUGAGGAGCGAAAGCGUGGGUAGCAAACAGGAUUAGAUACCCGGGUAGUC
rnacentral:rRNA from 1 species